AAACUAGAUUAGAUACCCUAUUAUGCUUAGCCGUAAACCUAAAUAAUUAAUAAACAAAAUUAUUCGCCAGAGUACUACAAGCAACAGCUUAAAACUCAAAGGACUUGGCGGUGCUUUAUAUCCCUCUAGAGGAGCCUGUUCUAUAAUCGAUAAACCCCGAUAAACCUCACCACUUCUUGCUAAUUCAACUUAUAUACCGCCAUCCUCAGCAAACCCUGUCAAGGCCUCAAAGUAAGCAAAAACACAUACAUAAAAACGUUAGGUCAAGGUGUAGUCUAUGAAGUGGAAAGAAAUGGGCUACAUUUUCUAACAUAAGAACAACAUCCCAACAGAAGCCUUUAUGAAACUAAAAGCCAAAGGAGGAUUUAGCAGUAAAUUAAGAAUAGAGAGCUUAAUUGAAUUGGGCCAUGAAGCACGCACACAUCGCCCGUCGCUCUU
rnacentral:rRNA from 1 species